UUCAUUGAUGGAAUGUGCAUGUAGAAAUUCAAUGCAAAUACAAAAAUGCACAAAUAAAAUAAUAAAAAAUUAGUAAACCAUUAUAAGAAAAUUGAAACUGCAGAAUAUUUUUAAUCUUGUGAAAACAUCAAAAUGUCCGCAAUCAAUGACAUUCCAAAAGGAAACAAAGUAAUGUUGUCAACAUUUAUUAAAUGGAAAGUUCAAGAGGUAAUAGGCUUUAGAACUGAAGUUACCAGAUAUGAGUGACGAAUUAGCUGCAUUCAGUUUCGAAAAUGUAGAAGAGGAAACACCGUUGACAACAGUUGAGGGGAAAAUCUGUUAUUUAACCUAUAAUGAAUAGUUUAAAAAAAAAAAGAUUUUCAAA